ACUUACCCGACUUAGCUGAGAGGUGGUGCAUGGCCGUCGUCAGUUCGUACUGUGAAGCAUCCUCGUUAAGUCAGGCAACGAGCGAGACCCACGUCCACAGUUGCCAGCAUACCCUCCGGGGUGGAUGGGUACACUGUGGAGACCGCCGCUGCUAAAGCGGAGGAAGGAGUGGGGCAACGGUAGGUCAGUAUGCCCCGAAUCUCCCGGGCUACACGCGGGCUACAAUGGUUGGUACAAUGGGCAUCUACCCCGAAAGGGGAAGGAAAUCUCUUAAAGCCAAUCGUAGUUCGGAUUGAGGGCUGCAACUCGCCCUCAUGAAGCUGGAAUCCGUAGUAAUCGCGUUUCAACAGAACGCGGUGAAUACGUCCCUGCUCCUU
rnacentral:rRNA from 1 species